CAGAAUAUUACAAUUGGAUAUGGGGGGAGAAAUAAUGCCACCACAGAAAGCAAUAUGUGGAAACACCUUUCCUCAUAUCUCCCUCACAUCCAAGUUUUAGUUAUCUGAACAGCAGGAAUCCUACAGGCCAACAGCACCAAUGCUUUGGUGUAUUACCUCUCAAAUAGCCUGGAAAAAUAUCUUCAAAUAAAUCUUGAUUUGCCCAGGUGUGCCUUUUUUCUUAAUAAUAGUAGAAAUAAUUGAAAUCAGGUAAGCAAGCUCUUUGCAGAGUCAUUUGUCAUGAAACAUAGAUUCAGAUCAAAUGCUUCAUGAAGCUUGGAACAAGGACUAGAAGAAUGAGAUGUGCACAGAAAGAAAAUGUAAAGCAAAAGUAAGAAGUACCCAAACAGAGGAAGGUGAAAGGAAUGGACCUGCCACACCCAAUUGCCGCUAUGGCUGUGGAAUAUCUGCAGAAGGAGGUGACUAUUUGAAAAGUAAUCAGAACUCUCCCAGAAGAUCAUGAGUGGAAUAAAUGCUUCUGUCAUUAUAUCA
rnacentral:lncRNA from 1 species